rnacentral:lncRNA from 1 species
GAUUUCAGAGGGCAACAUAUUUGAUAUGAUCCUGUCUUUCUACCAUGUAGAUACCAAGAUUGAACUUAGGUUGUUACAAUUGUCAUUAAGCACCCUUACCUAUUGAACAAUCUUGCCAGCACUAGAUACCAUUCUUUUUUGUGUGUGUGUGUGUAGAAUCUGAAUGUAAUUUUUCAAAUUUAGCAUCAAACUUUUUAUACAGAAGAAAAUAGGGAAGUUAGGUGACACAUCAGCAAGGUACAAAACAGAGGAAUGUAAACACAAAGACUGGCAGGAACUGGGCAAUAAAACAACUGAGACAAAGUGAGCUCUAUCUAAGGUCAGCUAUAGUCUUAGAAUCCAGGAGUGAGGUCUUUACACUCCUAGGGCAAGGGCUUUCACACCCAAGUCAUGGUUCUAAUUAGGGAGUUCCGCUCUAGCUAACCUUCUCAUGAAUAAUGCAAUACUCUAAAACCACAGCCCGAUCUACUUCCUAAACCAUUGUAAAUUCCUGUAUAUGGGAGCAACUUGGCUUUUAUUCUAAGUGAUAGUGUGGGGGGACAUCUUACUAAUAACUAAUGUAGUCUGCCAUACAUAACUUUAAUAAGAAUUCUAAACUUACAUUGCUAAGCUUGCCCUGAGAUUUCUAACUCUAUGUAGUAGAUAGUAAAGCCUGAUUUCUUUCACUAUCUCUUACAGUAAUAGAGGCAAUUCUGAAUGUCACUGAAUAAGCAACAUUCUUACUGAAUUCCAAGCCCAUGAUUGACUCAAGGACUUUUCUAGGAUGUUGAAACACUGGCGAAGGCUUAGCUAUGACAGAAUUCAAUCUUUAAAGGCACUUAUAAUAAAAUAAUACUAAAAGACAGCAUGUGGAUCCAUACACCAGACUAACACAGGGAUAGAGUAUGAGUUUAUGGGUUAUGAAAAUGCCUGAUUCUAGGAGGUUGAAUUUCCUUGAAACUCUCUACCUCGUGAGUGCUUUCAGGCCUCUUGGCCUGUCAAGCAGACUUCACUGGAGUGUGCGUAGCACAUGCAUGUCUUUUUGGUUCUGGAUUACCUUACUCAAGAUGAUAUCCUCAAGUUUCAUACAUUUGCCAGCAAAAUCCAUGGUAUCUUUGUUUUUGAUAGCUGAAUAGUUCUCCAUUGUGUUGAUGUACCAUAAAUAUCCAUUCUGCAGUUGAGGGACAUCUAGGUUGUUUCCAGUUUUUGGCUAUUACAAAUAAAGCUGCUGUAAACAUAGUUAAGCAGGUGUUCUUGUGGUAUAGUAGGGCAUCUUUUGGGUAUAAGCCCAGGAGUUAUGUAUACCUGGGUCUUGAGGUAGAACUAUUCCCAGUUUUCUUAGAAAUUGCCAAAUUGACUUCCACGGUGGUUGGAUAAAUUUUCACUCCCACCAGCAAGGGAGGAGUGUUUCCCUUCCUACACAUCUUUGCCAGCAUGUGCUAUCACUUGACUUUUUCAUCUUAGUCAUUCUGACAGGUAUAAGAUGGAGUCUCAGAGUUGUUUCGAUUUGUACUUCUCUGAUGACUAGGGACUUUGAACAUUUCUUUAAAUGUUUUUCAGCCUUUUGAGAUUCCUCUGUUGAGAAUUCUGUUUAGCUCUGAACCUCAUUUUUAUUUUUUUAUUUAAAAAAAAUUUUUAUUAGGUAUUUUUCUCGUUUACAUUUUCAAUGCUAUCCCAAAGGCCCCCCAUACCCACCCCACCCCCCAAUCCCCUACCCACCUACUCCCCCUUUUUGGCCCUGGCGUUCCCCUGUACUGGGGCAUCUAAAGUUGGCAAGUCCAAUGGGCCUCUCUUUGCAGUGAUGGCCGACUAGGCCAUCUUUUGAUGCAUAUGCAGCUAGAGACAAGAGCUCCCAAGGAGCUAAAGGGAACUGCAACCCUAUAGGUGGAACAACAAUAUGAACUAACCAGUACCCCGGAGCUCUUGUCUCUAGAUACCAUUCUUGAAGGAAAAAAAGUCACUAAUAAAUCUUGAAAGCUGUUCCUAUUUCUAUUUCCCAGAAAACCCUUAGUCAUACUUUGUAUAUACUAAGUACUAGGCUUUUGAAAAAUUCAAUGAAUGAGGAAAUGGCUAUUUAUUCAAAAAUAUAUUUUCUUACAUGAUACAAAUGCAAACUGCAACAAAAUUUAAAACCUAGUUGAUAUAAACUUUUGUAUGUGUUUGGGUUGUAAAACUAUAAAUACUCAGAUGAUAAGAAUCAGCAAUAAACAUUUUUUUGAAAAAGUCAUCCUGAUGAGUACAUGAUGAGUUCAAAGACAGCUUAGACUGCAUAAGACUCUAUAUCAAAAAUAAGCAAAUAAAUAAGCAAAUAAAUAAGCUAAUAAAUAAAUAAACAAACAAAUAAGCAUUGGAGAUUAGAGAAGUCGCAUAUACUUCUCUUGCAGAGCACCCAAGUUUAGGCAAUUGCAUCUAUUUUACAAACACCUACAAUUCCUCUGAGGGCAGCACACACAUUUUGUCUGUGAUGGCUAUACCUGGUUAACAAAUUGACUACAUCUAGAAUAAACUACAAUUAGGAGGAAGGACAUACCUGCGAUCAAGAUUUUGAGGUUGGAAGACACAGGAUUCUGACCCUGAUCUUGACAUGGAAUGACAUGAAAUUUUUACCUGAAUCUUGAGGAAUAGUGGCCAAAAAGAGCUUGGGUACAAGGAUGGUGGUAUAUACAUUUAAUUCCAUGAGACAAAUGGAGAUCUCUGAAUUCCAGGCCAUCCAGGGUCAGAGGAAAUUCUAGGUAAAGAAAAGCUUAAAUCCAGGUGUGGUGGUACAUGCCUUUAAUAUCAACAUUUAGGAGACAGAGCCAUGCAGAUUUCUGCAUUAAAGGUCUGUGUACAGAGAAAAUUCCAAGACAGCCAAGCUUAGUCAGUAGAUGUCUUAGAAAACAGAAAGCUGGUGAUAAUGUAAUAGAACAAGGGGACCAUGCUCCAGCUCUAAUAAGCAGCAGAACUUGGAAGCUUUGGCCAUGUGACUAUGGCUUUAGAGUCAAAAAUAGAAUGGACUACUGGGACAAUUAAUGCUCAUUAGCUAAAGGUAAGGAAUUAGUGGUGAUUAACAAGAGACCAGCAUCACUAUGUCAAAUCUGCUGUGAAGUAAUUUUUGAGAGCACAAAGGAGCCAUGUUCCAGAGAUAGUCAAGGUUGUACUUCAUGCUGCUGCUUGAAAUAAGUAAGAGUCACUCAAAUGGUACUGGUUUUGUAGGCAUAAAGGAGUCAUGGAGAACAGCUGAAGCUUGGGACUGUGAGAUGCCAAGAAAGGCCAUUGCUGAAGGUACAGCCUCAGGUGCAGUUGAUAUCACUAGAUGGGUCAUGCAAAGUAUUUGAGACUUGGCACCAUGAACUGAGCCUAUGAGAGACUAUUGAAGAAGC